rnacentral:lncRNA from 1 species
GGCCCACUAGUAGCCUUCAAUUUUCUGAAAAGAUUAAUUUCAGAAGACAUAGGAAGUUGAUUGAGACAGAAACAACUCAGAGAAAGUUUUGAUAUAUCUUUCAACUUGGAGUGAAACUGCUGAUAAAGUAGAUUUUAAAGAGUUGAACAUUUAGAAAAGAAAGGGCAGAAGAUUGAGAGAUAUACAUGUGAUUUAUAAAUGGAGACAAAAGG